rnacentral:rRNA from 1 species
AGAACGAACGCUGGCGGCAUGCCUAAUACAUGCAAGUCGAACGAAGGCUUCGGCCUUAGUGGCGCACGGGUGCGUAACGCGUGGGAAUCUGCCCCUUGGUUCGGAAUAACAGUUGGAAACGACUGCUAAUACCGGAUGAUGACGAAAGUCCAAAGAUUUAUCGCCAAGGGAUGAGCCCGCGUAGGAUUAGCUAGUUGGUGAGGUAAGGCUCACCAAGGCGACGAUCCUUAGCUGGUCUGAGAGGAUGAUCAGCCACACUGGGACUGAGACACGGCCCAGACCUCCGUACGGGAGGCCAGCAGGUAGGAAUAUGGACAAGUGGGCGAAAGUCCUGAACUCCACGCAAGUGACCGCGGUGGACGUGACGU